UAGGAAACUAGAAGAAUGUGGGCUCAGGCAUGUGCCCAUAGAACCAAUCACUUUAUUGGACCAAUGUUUUGGACUCUACUUCUGCUGGGUUCUUCUUCGGGCGCCACUGUUUUUCUGGUGGCCCCUGGUUCUUCCUUGGAAAUCUCAGUCCCUGUGUUACUCCCAACAGACACGGGCACUCCCGAGGCGCCUAAAGAGGGGGUUACGCAGGCCCCCGCCUCAGGACACGAUGAAGACAACACCCUGGGCUACACAGGAACCCGUCUGCGGCUGGAAGAUUACCCUCCCCGCAUCGUGGAGCACCCCUCCGACCUCAUCGUGUCCAAGGGCGAGCCGGCCACCCUCAACUGCAAGGCCGAGGGGCGGCCCACGCCCACCGUGGAGUGGUACAAGGAUGGAGAGAGGGUGGAGACGGACCGGGACAACUCGCGCUCCCACCGCAUGCUGCUGCCCAGCGGCUCGCUCUUCUUCCUCAGGAUAGUCCACGGCCGCCGCAGCAAACCGGACGAAGGCUCUUACGUCUGCGUGGCCCGAAACUACCUGGGAGAAGCCGUCAGCCACAACGCCUCGCUGGAAGUAGCCAUUCUCCGGGAUGAGUUCAGGCAGAACCCCAGUGAUGUGAUGGUAGCAGCGGGUGAGCCAGCAGUAAUGGAGUGCCAGCCCCCUCGUGGUCACCCAGAACCCACCAUCUCCUGGAAGAAAGAUGGCGUCAAUGUAGACGACAGAGACGAGCGCAUAACGAUACGAGGUGGAAAGCUGAUGAUCACCAACACGCGGAAGAGUGAUGCUGGGAAGUAUGUGUGCGUGGGGACCAACAUGAUGGGCGAGCGAGAGAGCGAGAUAGCUGAGCUCACGGUGCUGGAGAGACCCAGUUUUUUACGCAGGCCAAGCAGUCAGUCUGUGCUGGUGGAUCAGAGCGUGGAAUUCAGGUGUGAAGCACAAGGAGACCCCAUGCCCACCGUUCGCUGGAGGAAAGAGGACGGAGAGCUGCCCAAGGGGAGGUUUGAGAUCCGGGAUGAUCACACGCUGAAGCUGAAGCGGCUGAGCUCGGCAGACGCCGGCUCCUACACCUGCCUGGCCGAGAACAUGAUGGGGAAAACGGAGGCCACGGCCACCCUCACCGUCCACGUGCCUCCAGUGUUUGCGGUGCGACCGAGGAAUCAGGUGGUCGGGGUGGGGCGCACAGUGACCUUUCAGUGUGAGGCCACCGGCAGCCCCCAACCAGCCAUCUUCUGGCAGAGAGAGGGCAGCCAGAACCUGCUGUUCUCCUCUCAGCCGCCACAGCCGUCCAGCCGCUUCUCUGUCUCUCAAACGGGUGAUCUUACCAUCACUGGCAUAGAACGAGGGGACGCCGGAUAUUACAGCUGCCAGGCCCUCAACAUUGCGGGCAGUGUGAUCACCAAAGCUCUGCUGGAGGUCACAGACAUCAUUUCCGACAGACCGCCACCCGUUGUUCGUCAAGGUCCCACCAAUCAGACAGUGGCUGUUGAUGGGACAGUAGUUCUGGGUUGCCAGGCGACCGGCACACCUACCCCCACCAUCCUGUGGAGAAAGGACGGGGUGCUGGUGUCCACUCACGACUCUCGCCUGAAACUGUUGGACACAGGGGCUCUACAGAUACGCUAUGCCAAGCUUGGAGACACGGGCAUGUACACCUGUAUAGCUUCCACCCCGAGUGGAGAGGCUUCCUGGAAGGCUUACCUGGAGGUGCAAGAGUUUGGUGUUGCGGUCCAACCUGGUCGACCCACCGACCCCAACCUGAUCCCCAGUGCCCCCUCCAAACCUGAGGUGACCGACGUCACUCGCUCCACAGUGUCUCUUACAUGGAAGCCUGACCUCAAUUCUGGAGCCACACCCACCUCUUACAUCAUCGAGGCUUUCAGCCAUGCGUCGGGCAGCAGCUGGCAGACGCUGGCGGAGCACGUGAGGACGGAGAGCUACGUGCUGAAGGGUCUGAAGCCCAGCGCCGUCUAUCUGUUCCUGGUGAGAUCAGCUAACGCCUACGGCCUCAGUGACCCCAGCCCCAUCAGCGACGCCGUCAAAAUACAGGACGUUCCUCCGACCAGUCAAGGAGUGGAGCACGGUCAGAUCCAGAGGGAGCUGGGGGAUGUCGUUAUCCACCUCCACAAUCCCACCAUCCUCUCCUCCUCCUCCAUUCGAGUGCAGUGGACCGUGGAACAGCAGUCGCAGUACAUCCAGGGCUAUAAGGUGAUGUACCGGGUGUCCUCUGAGACGGGUCAGACCCGGAACGACUGGGCUGUAUUUGAAGUGCGAACUCCUGGAGAAUAUACAGCACUGAUCACUCAGCUCCGCAAGGGCACCACCUACGACUUCAAAGUGCGGCCUUUUUUCAACGAGUUCCAGGGAACGGACAGCGAUAUCAAAGUGGGCAAGACUCUGGAAGAAGCACCCAGCGCCGCCCCCAAGGAAGUGAAGGUUACGGAGAAUGGAGACAACGGCACAACCAUCCUGCUGUCCUGGCAGGCCCCCCCAGAGGACGAGCAGAACGGAGUAGUCCAGGAGUACAGGAUCUGGUGUUUAGGGAACGAAAGCCGCUACCACAUCAACCGCACAGUGGACGGGUCCACCUUCUCCGUGGUCAUCUCAGGCCUGGUUCCGGGCGUCCGCUACAGCGUGGAGGUGGCAGCCAGCACUGGAGCCGGACCUGGAGUGAAGAGUGAGAUCACUUACUUCCAGCUGGACUCCUCAGGGCGGAUGACACAGUCAGUAGUGGACCCAGAGAACACUCUCUCUCAGCAGAUCUCAGACGUGGUCCGGCAGCCGGCCUUCAUCGCAGGCAUCGGUGCAGCCUGCUGGAUAAUCCUCAUGGUCUUCAGUAUCUGGCUGUACCGCCACCGCAAGAAGAGAAGCGGCCUGAGCACCAGCUACGCCGGCAUCCGCAAAGUGCCAUCCUUCACCUUCACACCUACCGUUUCCUACCAAAGAGGAGGAGAGGCUGUCAGCAGUGCUGGGAGGCCGGGCCUUUUGAACAUCAGUGAGCCAGCCACUCAGCCUUGGCUAGCAGACACAUGGCCCAACAACUGCUCCAACCAGAACGACUGCAGCAUCAACUGCUGCACUGCAGGCAACGGCAACAGCGACAGCAACCUGACCACCUACAGCCGCCCCGCUGACUGCAUCGCCAACUACAACAACCAGAUGGACAGCAAGCCCAGCAACCUGCUGGCGCCAGACUCGGGCCUGUACGGCGACGUGGACCUCUCCAACAAGAUCAACGAGAUGAAGACCUUCAACAGCCCCAAUCUGAAGGAUGGGAGGCUCGGACCGGGGCAGCCCACCCCUUAUGCCACCACCCAGCUCAUCCAGUCCAGCCUGAGCAGCGGCACCGGGGGCAGCGCCGACCUCAAUGACAAGCAGAGCUGGAAGAGCUGCCAGAGCACGCCUCAGAAGCAGCAGGACGUGACGUCACAGAUGCAGUACAUCAUCAUGGAGCAAAACAGGCUGAACAAGGAUCUCUACAGAGUAGGGGACAGUGUAAUGCCAGCCACCAUCCCCUACAACCAGCCCCCAGAGCCCACCCCUGUUGGCACCUACAGCAGCUCUGACAGAGGCAGCAGUACAUCAGGCAGUCAAGGGCAGAAGAAAGGAGUGCGGACACCGAAAAUGCCCAAGCAGAGCACGAUGAACUGGACCGACCUGCUGCCCCCUCCUCCCGUCAGCCCACCGCCAUGUCAGGACUACGGCAUUUCUAUAGACGACAGCUAUGAAGCAGAGCUGCAGUGUCCAGUUCCUCCAUCCCGCAUGUACCUCCAGCCUGACGAGCUGGAGGAGGAGGAGGCGGAGAUGGAGAGGGGUCCCACGCCCCCUCUGCGCGGAACAGCCUCCUCCCCCGCUGCAGUGUCCUACAGCCACCAGUCCACUGCCACACUCACCCCGUCCCCACAGGAGGAGCUGCAGCCCAUGCUGCAGGAGAACCCAGACGGCCUGCACGAGCGCAGACGGCUCUUAGUCAGCCCACCAGCUCCCCCUCGGCCCCUCUCCCCUCCCCACACAUACGGCUACAUCUCCAGUCCGCUGGGUCUGGACACGGAUGGCCUUGAGGAAGAGGAAGAUGAGGAGGAAGGCGAUGAGACGGAUGCGGAGGUGGCCCGGGUGCACCAGCGGCGCCACCAGCAGCACCCUUCUGCCCAGCAGCAUGUGGGGCAGCAGAGGCUUCUCCUGCGUGGGCUGGAGCAGACGCCUGCCUCCAGCACCUGCGAUCUGGAGAGCUCGGUCACCGGCUCCAUGAUAAACGGCUGGGGCUCAGCGUCUGAGGAGGACAACGCCUCGUCCGGCCGCUCCAGCGUGGUCAGCUCCUCUGACGGCUCCUUUUUCACUGAUGCAGACUUUGCCCAGGCGGUGGCGGCGGCCGCGGAGUACGCCGGCCUCCGAGUGGCAAAGCAUUCUGGAAAAGGCCAGCAGCAACAAACAGUGCCUGGAGCACGAAAAUACCAAAACCUGCCUUCAGGCCACCGUCCAGCAAGUCCAUUGUCUACAGACAGUAAUAUGAGUGCAGCUGUCGCCCAGAGAAGACCUCAGAAGAAACAGAAACAGCAGGCGGCAGGGCACUCAGGAUACCAGCGCAGAGAGGUCUUCUCAGAUGACCUGCCUCCUCCACCCAUCCCACCUCCAGCCAUGCUCAAGUCUCCUACCCACCCAGGGAAGGGAGCACCGGACGGAGGACUGGGGGCGGUGUCCCCCAGAUCCAGUUCAGCCGAGGGCAGAGAGAAGAGAUCGGCUUCAGGGGGGCCAAAGUCCAGAGACCCCUCGGACACGCGGACCAGCUCGUCAGAACGACGGGAGGGUCAGGACCGACAGAGGGUCCAGAGAGCGGGGAAAGGCAGUAAACAGGAGCCAACAGGAGGGAGCAAGGCCCGCCAUCAUCCAGAGGACAUCCUGCCCUACAGCCGGCCCUCCUUCCCAGCCGUCCACAGCCCCAGAGGAGACCGGGAUCCCAGCUCCUCCAGCUCCAUGUCCUCCAGAGGCUCUGGGGGCAGAAGGAGAGGAGAGGGAGUCCCCGGGAGCCGCAGAAACCCUCAAGAAAUCGGCCUCAACACCAUAGGAGCCUUUCAGCCUGGAGACGAAGAACUGGAGAUGGUGGAAAGCUGAAUCUGAGUGGAAAUGCCGUCAGCGGACACUAUUUUAGUAACCAUCUUCAAAUUUUAACCAUGUCAGCAGUUUGUCCCAGGAAAAAAGUGCCACAUUUGAGAUGUUUUUUCUUUUCUUUUCUUUUUUUUUUUUGGUAAUGCACUGUUAUUUUUGUUGUUUGUCGAUGUUUGUCGUUAUUUGUUUAACUUUGGUUUUAAAAGCACAAUCACUAAACUUUAUUUUAAACCAUGUAUGUUAUCGAUUAACCUUUUUGUCUUGCGUGAAAACGAGUACUGUACGACAAAAGGCUUCGUUAACCCUGACGACGUAGGUGAGAGAGAGGAUAAGCUGUUUACACAGGGGUGAACGAAUUGAAAGACCCUGCACCUCUCACUCUCUUUCUCUCUCUCUCUCUAAGCUCUAAGCCAGAUUCUGAUUCUCUCUCUCCAGCCCUGAUGAAAAAAAAGAGCCUCCGAUUUGAAAAUGUUACAUUUGACGCAUCGUUGUUCCAUCGCUGCACCUUCAUUUACUAAAACCCAUUUUUCUUCUACUCAUGCACUUAAAGAAAAAAAAAGAGAGAGAAAACUGGAGAACUUACGAUCUGGGCAGUGGCUUGAGAAUCUGAAGCGUGAUUGGUCAGUCGAGAGCCUAUCAGUUGGACAAGGACGCUGUCAGUCACCUUCAAAGAGGAGAGGAUGUACGUGUUUACUCAUAGGGCAUCUGCAAACAUCUGUUUCUUAAAGCAAAAAGAAAAAUAAAGAAAAAAAAAACAAUAAACAAGAAUAAUUAAAGAUA